rnacentral:rRNA from 1 species
UAGGGAAUAUUGGUCAAUGGGUGAGAGCCUGAACCAGCCAUGCCGCGUGCAGGAAGAAGGCCUUCUGGGUUGUAAACUGCUUUUGCCAGGGGAUAAACUGACCUUGCGAGGUUAAUUGAAGGCACCUGGUGAAUAAGCCACGGCUAACUACGUGCCGGCAGCCGCGGUAAUACGUAGGUGGCAAGCGUUGUCCGGAUUUAUUGGGUUUAAAGGGUGCGUAGGCGGCCUAUUAAGUCAGUGGUGAAAUAUUUCAGCUCAACUGGAAUUGUGCCAUUGAUACUGAUGGGCUUGAGUACAGAUGAGGUAGGCGGAAUUGACGGUGUAGCGGUGAAAUGCUUAGAUAUCGUCAAGAACACCUAUAGCGAAGGCAGCUUACUAGGCUGUAACUGACGCUGAGGCACGAAAGUGUGGGGAUCAAA